CCUACGGGAGGCAGCAGUGAGGAAUAUUGGUCAAUGGGCUUACGCCUGAACCAGCCAAGUCGCGUGAGGGAAGACUGCCCUAUGGGUUGUAAACCUCUUUUGUCAGGGAGCAAUUGGCGCUACGUGUAGCGUUAUCGAGAGUACCUGAAGAAAAAGCAUCGGCUAACUCCGUGCCAGCAGCCGCGGUAAUACGGAGGAUGCGAGCGUUAUCCGGAUUUAUUGGGUUUAAAGGGUGCGUAGGCGGGACGGUAAGUCAGCGGUAAAAAUGCGGAGCUCAACUCCGUCGAACCGUUGAAACUGCCGUU
rnacentral:rRNA from 1 species